UCAGAAUGCUGCGGUGAAUGCGUUCCCGGGUCUUGUACACACCGCCCGUCACACCACGGGAGUUGGAGACGCCCGAAGCCGAUUAUCUAACCUUUUGGAAGAAGUCGUCGAAGGUGGAAUCAAUAACUGGGGUGAAGUCGUAACAAGGUAGCCGUAUCGGAAGGUGCGGCUGGAUCACCUCCUUUCUAAGGAGA
rnacentral:rRNA from 1 species